UAGGGAAUCUUCCACAAUGGACGAAAGUCUGAUGGAGCAACGCCGCGCGAGUGAAGAAGGGUUUCGGCUCGUAAAACUCUGUUGUUAAAGAAGAACAUAUCUGAGAGUAACUGUUCAGGUAUUGACGGUAUCUAACCAGAAAGCCACGGCUAACUACGUGCC
rnacentral:rRNA from 1 species